GCGGCCGCCGACUGCAGAGAAGGGCACAGGAGGGAACUUCAGUGAGGCCACUUCUGGAUGUUGACCCUAUACAAUUCUCGGGGAAGCUGGCGAUGACUUGAGUGAUCUCCCCAGACCUUUUGCAUAUCUCCUCACCUUACACCUGAAGGAAGGCUGGAAACUUGUUGUCCAAGACCACUGCGAUAAGAUCUGAGUCUGUUAUACUUGUGUAUCCUGCAAACCUCUUUUUCUCUACCUUUGUAUCAAUGUUGUUAGUUAACUUUUUCUGUCACUGCAUAGUUUAGAAGAGACUGGAAUGCAAAUCUAAGCCUCUCCAGGUGUAAUGCAGUAAAUUAUUUAAAGCCACUGAA